rnacentral:rRNA from 1 species
AUGGUUCUUUCUUGGUUGAGAGAGUUCACUGGAGGGAAGGAUUUAGUUAGGCCAGCAGUGACAAGAUUUGCUACUGCCUAUUUGACUUCGGGUUGUCUGCAUGAGCACAAGGGCGCAUUAAUCAAUAUGUUCGCUUCAACAAAGUGGAGGGGUAGUAGAUUUAAUUCUGCAGAAGGGAAGGUCGUUCAAGGAAUUGUUUUGGAUAGCUAUGGGUUUUGGCCUAAUAUUGCCACAUGUCUGAAGACUGCACUCCCAAUUAUAAAAGUUCUUCGAUUGGUGGAUUCAGAUGAGAAGCCAGCAAUGUCGUUCAUCUAUGAUGAGAUGGAUCGUGCAAAAGAUGAAAUAAAGCAAAAUUUUAACUAUGUGAAGAAAAGCUACACUCCAGUAUUUAAUAUAAUUGAUGAGAGAUGGCGUACACAACUUCAUAGGCCUUUGCAUGCUGCCGCAUAUUAUUUGAAUCCACAAUGCCACUAUAGUGAUAAUUUCAAGCCGGCUGAAGUAAAACGUGGCCUGUACACUUGUCUUGAAAAGAUGGUUCUAGAUUUAGAUGAAAGAGUCAAGAUAGAUCUGCAGAUUGAUUCAUUUAGGAGUGCCGAGGGCCUAUUUGGAAUGCAAUCGGCUAUUAUGACAAGAACAAAAAAAAAUGCCAGCUGA